UCCACCGGAGCUUGCUCCACCGGAAAAAGAGGAGUGGCGAACGGGUGAGUAACACGUGGGUAACCUGCCCAUCAGAAGGGGAUAACACUUGGAAACAGGUGCUAAUACCGUAUAACAAUCGAAACCGCAUGGUUUUGAUUUGAAAGGCGCUUUCGGGUGUCGCUGAUGGAUGGACCCGCGGUGCAUUAGCUAGUUGGUGAGGUAACGGCUCACCAAGGCCACGAUGCAUAGCCGACCUGAGAGGGUGAUCGGCCACAUUGGGACUGAGACACGGCCCAAACUCCUACGGGAGGCAGCAGUAGGGAAUCUUCGGCAAUGGACGAAAGUCUGACCGAGCAACGCCGCGUGAGUGAAGAAGGUUUUCGGAUCGUAAAACUCUGUUGUUAGAGAAGAACAAGGAUGAGAGUAACUGUUCAUCCCUUGACGGUAUCUAACCAGAAAGCCACGGCUAACUACGUGCCAGCAGCCGCGGUAAUACGUAGGUGGCAAGCGUUGUCCGGAUUUAUUGGGCGUAAAGCGAGCGCAGGCGGUUUCUUAAGUCUGAUGUGAAAGCCCCCGGCUCAACCGGGGAGGGUCAUUGGAAACUGGGAGAC
rnacentral:rRNA from 1 species